UAGGGAAUCUUCCACAAUGGACGAGCAGUCUGAUGGAGCAACGCCGCGUGAGUGAUGAAGGGUUUCGGCUCGUAAAACUCUGUUGUUGGAGAAGAACGGGUGUCAGAGUAACUGUUGACAUCGUGACGGUAUCCAACCAGAAAGCCACGGCUAACUACGUGCCAGCAGCCGCGGUAAUACGUAGGUGGCAAGCGUUGUCCGGAUUUAUUGGGCGUAAAGCGAGCGCAGGCGGUUUUUUAGGUCUGAUGUGAAAGCCUUCGGCUUAACCGGAGAAGUGCAUCGGAAACCGGGAGACUUGAGUGCAGAAGAGGACAGUGGAACUCCAUGUGUAGCGGUGAAAUGCGUAGAUAUAUGGAAGAACACCAGUGGCGAAGGCGGCUGUCUGGUCUGCAACUGACGCUGAGGCUCGAAAGCAUGGGUAGCGAACAGGAUUAGAUACCCUGGUAGUCCAUGCCGUAAACGAUGAGUGCUAAGUGUUGGAGGGUUUCCGCCCUUCAGUGCUGCAGCUAACGCAUUAAGCACUCCGCCUGGGGAGUACGACCGCAAGGUUGAACUC
rnacentral:rRNA from 1 species